UCUCCCAGGAUGGUGUUUUAGCUUGGAGA
rnacentral:piRNA from 1 species